AAUAUUCCUCGUGGCUUAUGUUAUGGUAUAUGAAAGUGAAACGAACAACUUCAACUAAUUUUACGAGAAAAAUAUCUGAAAAUCCAUUUUUAUUUAUUCAAAUAGCAAAUGGAUUUACAUAGAUUUUCUUAGUACAAAAUCGAAGAGUAAAUUAAAAGAGCAAAAGCAAGCAAAUAUUGAGAUGGCUAUCUUCCUUCAAUUAAUGCCUGCCCUCAAAUCCAGAUGAGGUUAGCUUCUUCCAAUGGCCACCCUCAAGUUUUUAAGGUUGAGAAUUCAAUUGAAUUCAUAUGCUUCAGCGUUGGGUUUUUGCUUGAAGGAGUUCCUUCUUGCUGUUGCUAAAACAGUCUUGUCAGCCACUAUGAAGUAUGCUGCUCCAGCCACUGUGGAGAUUAUGAGAGCUUGAGCUGUGUGAUUCAGAUUAGCUUUUGCCCAUGGCAGCAUCCUCACACUGGCCAAAGUAGGAAUGGCAGUGGCAAUACUUGCAAUUGCAGCUGCUUUUGCUCCUGCUAUCACACCCUCUUUAGCACAGCGCUUAGCCAUUGCCACUUUUGGGUCAUGAGAGGCCAUUGUUGGAAGAUGAAGAAACAAAAAAACGCUGCAGAAUCAGUAAGAAAACAGGGGAGAUUGAGGAAGAUUGAGUUUGAAGUCAACCGAGUGGAUAAUU
rnacentral:misc_RNA from 1 species